AUGAUGGCCGUGGGAGAGACCCUUGCGGGGGCGCCGAAGGAGCAAACCGGUUUCUUGAGGGAGAAACCCGUUAAACUCUCAGGCAAAAGGACUGUGGCCGGACG
rnacentral:ncRNA from 2 species